UGUGACCUCAAAUCAGGUA
rnacentral:rRNA from 3 species